GGGACACGUGGUAUCCUGUCUGAAUAUGGGGGGACCAUCCUCCAAGGCUAAAUACUCCUGACUGACCGAUAGUGAACCAGUACCGUGAGGGAAAGGCGAAAAGAACCCCGGCGAGGGGAGUGAAAAAGAACCUGAAACCGUGUACGUACAAGCAGUGGGAGCACCUUCGGGUGUGACUGCGUACCUUUUGUAUAAUGGGUCAGCGACUUAUAUUCUGUAGCAAGGUUAACCGUAUAGGGGAGCCGCAGGGAAACCGAGUCUUAACUGGGCGUUAAGUUGCAGGGUAUAGACCCGAAACCCGGUGAUCUAGCCAUGGGCAGGUUGAAGGUUGGGUAACACUAACUGGAGGACCGAACCGACUAAUGUUGAAAAAUUAGCGGAUGACUUGUGGCUGGGGGUGAAAGGCCAAUCAAACCGGGAGAUAGCUGGUUCUCCCCGAAAGCUAUUUAGGUAGCGCCUCGUGAAUUCAUCUUCGGGGGUAGAGCACUGUUUCGGCUAGGGGGUCAUCCCGACUUACCAACCCGAUGCAAACUACGAAUACCGAAGAAUGUUAUCACGGGAGACACACGGCGGGUGCUAACGUCCGUCGUGAAGAGGGAAACAACCCAGACCGCCAGCUAAGGUCCCAAAGUCAUGGUUAAGUGGGAAACGAUGUGGGAAGGCACAGACAGCCAGGAUGUUGGCUUAGAAGCAGCCAUCAUUUAAAGAAAGCGUAAUAGCUCACUGGUCGAGUCGGCCUGCGCGGAAGAUGUAACGGGGCUAAACCAUGCACCGAAGCUGCGGCAGCGACACUAUGUGUUGUUGGGUAGGGGAGCGUUCUGUAAGCCUGCGAAGGUGUGCUGUGAGGCAUGCUGGAGGUA
rnacentral:rRNA from 1 species